rnacentral:tRNA from 1 species
AGUCUUUUAGUUUAAUAAAAAUAUUGAAUUGCAAGUUCAGGGAUGCAUAUUAGUGCUUAGACUU